AGUGAACGCUGGCGGCGUGCCUAAUACAUGCAAGUCGAACGAACGAAUAAGAGCUUGCUCUUAUAAGUUAGUGGCGCACGGGUGAGUAAUAUAUAGCUAAUCUGCCUCUUAGUAGAGGAUAACAGUCGGAAACGAUUGCUAAUACUCUAUACUUCUGCUUUACAUAAGUAAAGUAGAGAAAGUUUUUCGCUAAGAGAUGAGGCUAUACUGUAUCAGCUAGUUGGUAAGGUAACGGCUUACCAAGGCUAUGACGCAUAACUGGUCUGAGAGGAUGAUCAGUCACAUUGGAACUGAGACACGGUCCAAAAUCCUACGGGAGGCAGCAGUAGGGAAUAUUGCGAAAUGGGGGAAACCCUGAAGCAGCAACGCCGCGUGGAGGAUGACACCUUGCGGAGCGUAAACUCCUUUUAUCGGGAAAGAAUAAUGACGGUACCCGAUGAAUAAGCCCCGGCUAACUACGUG
rnacentral:rRNA from 1 species